GGGUUCUGGUGUCCGUACAUGAUUAAAGGAUCAGAAGAGUUUGUAACAUCAUAGACAUUUACAAUAAUUGGAUGAUUUGCAGCAAGUUGCCCAAGUAGACACUCAACGAGAGACUCAACAUCGAAGGCUCCACCAAGAUACCCUGCAGUGGCUUCAACCCGUUCAUGCUCCGUCGGGUUUUCCGGAAGCUUGGAUCUGUAAACAGGGAAUGUCAAAACAACACCAAGGUGAUGAGAACCCAGAAGCCUGAAGGGGCUCGUAAGAACUGCCUUCCCACUGGCCCUAGCUCUUAAGAUGUUUUCGCGAUCCUCCUCUCCUGACAUCAUAUCAAGUGAUUCUAUGUAGGAAACCGUCUCUUGUGAAAAUAUAACUGGAGAAUACUCAUCUCUAAUUGGUGAAGGCUCUUUUUCCAUUGUUUUAAUAGUCCAUCCAUGUUCUCUCUCAAAUUCUUCCCUUUCUGAGUUUAAAACUCUCUCUGCAUAUGCCACCCCACUUAAUAGUGGCCUCUCAAAGGCAGUUCUAGCAGUGUACUCAGCAAAAGUACUCUGAUCAAUUGCUGAUGGAUUCUUCUCAUAAUGGAAAGUUGAUACAAGUAUAGCAAGGGCAUGUACAUGAUUCACACUAACACUGAAUUGAUCUUGUAACAUCCUUGCCCUUUGAUCACACAUAC
rnacentral:misc_RNA from 1 species